rnacentral:lncRNA from 1 species
UGCGGGAGGUGGGGGAGAGGAGCUCGUUUUCACCUAGGGAAGACGAAUGACAGCCAUAGAAGAAGAGGCAUCAUCCUGUCUCUAAAUGGCAGGAGGACUUUGUAUAAGCCUUCCAGACAAUGGAAGCCAUGUGGGCGAAGACUCAGGUCACCCAAAGAACACCCUAUUGUCUGAAGGGGCUGCUUCUGUUGUGGCUGGAAUCAAAGACUGGGACAACGACAUCUCUGCUUUAACAAGUUCAUGUAAAGAACCACGUACCAUCCAAAGGCCCGGGGAAGAAAUUACAGGUAAAGAACAAGCCCAAGCUGAUAAAUUCGUCAGAAAGUAUAUCCUAAAGUGAACCAUUCAUCUCACCUGCUAUGCAAGACUUCAACUGCUCAAGUCUGGCCACUGUGAUCCAGAGCCUCCUCAUGGCUGCCUGAGGAAGACAAUCGCCUCCUGUUUGCCUUUGGAACAAGACGUAGAACUUGCAGCUCCUCCAGCACCAUGUCUGACUGCACAGUGCCCUGCUUCCUGCCAUGAUGAUAAUGGACUGAACUUCUGAAACUGUAAGCCAGCACCAAUGAAAUGUUUUUUCUUUAUAAGAAUUGCCUUAGCUGGGCGUGGUAGCACACGCCUUUAAUCCCAGCACUUGGGAGGCAGAGG